CCUACGGGGGGCAGCAGUGGGGGAUAUUGCACAAUGGGGGGAACCCUGAUGCAGCGACGCCGCGUGGGUGAAGAAGGGCCUCGGCGCGUAAAGCCCUGUCAGCAGGGAAGAAAAUGACGGUACCUGAAGAAGAAGCCCCGGCUAACUACGGGCCAGCAGCCGCGGGAAUACGUAGGGGGCAAGCGUUAUCCGGAUUUACUGGGUGUACAGGGGGCGCAGCCGGCGCGGCAAGCCAGGAGCGAAAGCCCGGGGCCCCACCCCGGGACUGCUCUUGGAACUGCGUGGCUGGAGUGCAGGAGGGGCAGGCGGAAUUCCUGGUGUAGCGGUGAACUGCGUAGAUAUCAGGAGGACCACCGGUGGCGAAGGCGGCCUGCUGGACUGCAACUGACGUUGAGGCCCG
rnacentral:rRNA from 1 species